GGCCUAACACAUGCAAGUCGAACGGUAAGGCCCUUCGGGGUACACGAGUGGCGAACGGGUGAGUAACACGUGGGUGAUCUGCCCUGCACUUCGGGAUAAGCUUGGGAAACUGGGUCUAAUACCGGAUAUGACUACGAAUCGCAUGGUUUGUGGUGGAAAGCUUUUGCGGUGUGGGAUGGGCCCGCGGCCUAUCAGCUUGUUGGUGGGGUGAUGGCCUACCAAGGCGACGACGGGUAGCCGGCCUGAGAGGGUGUCCGGCCACACUGGGACUGAGAUACGGCCCAGACUCCUACGGGAGGCAGCAGUGGGGAAUAUUGCACAAUGGGCGCAAGCCUGAUGCAGCGACGCCGCGUGAGGGAUGACGGCCUUCGGGUUGUAAACCUCUUUCAGUAUCGACGAAGCGCAAGUGACGGUAGGUACAGAAGAAGGACCGGCCAACUACGUGCCAGCAGCCGCGGUAAUACGUAGGGUCCGAGCGUUGUCCGGAAUUACUGGGCGUAAAGAGCUCGUAGGUGGUUUGUCGCGUUGUUCGUGAAAACUCACAGCUCAACUGUGGGCGUGCGGGCGAUACGGGCAGACUGGAGUACUGCAGGGGAGACUGGAAUUCCUGGUGUAGCGGUGGAAUGCGCAGAUAUCAGGAGGAACACCGGUGGCGAAGGCGGGUCUCUGGGCAGUAACUGACGCUGAGGAGCGAAAGCGUGGGGAGCGAACAGGAUUAGAUACCCUGGUAGUCCACGCCGUAAACGGUGGGUACUANGGUGUGGGUUUCCUUCCUUGGGAUCCGUGCCGUAGCUAACGCAUUAAGUACCCCGCCUGGGGAGUACGGCCGCAAGGCUAAAA
rnacentral:rRNA from 1 species